rnacentral:rRNA from 1 species
AUUCCAGCUCCAAUAGCGUAUAUUAAAGUUGUUGCAGUUAAAAAGCUCGUAGUUGGAUUUCUGGUCUGAGCGUCCGGUCCGCCGCUGUGCGGUGUGUACUUGGUUCGACUCGGGCCUUCCUUGUAGGGAAUGUUUCUGGCAUUAAUUUGUCGGGGGCGGGAACUGCAUCGUUUACUGUGAAAAAAUUAGAGUGUUUAAAGCAGGCAUUUGCUGUGAAUACAUUAGCAUGGAAUAAUAAGAUAGGACUUUGGUUCUAUUUUGUUGGUUGGAGGCCAAGGUAAUGAUUAAUAGGGAUAGUUGGGGGUAUUCGUAUUUCGUAGUCAGAGGUGAAAUUCUUGGAUUUACGAAAGACGAACUACUGCGAAAGCAUUUACCAAGGAUGUUUUCAUUG